rnacentral:rRNA from 1 species
UACGAAGGGGGCUAGCGUUGCUCGGAAUCACUGGGCGUAAAGGGUGCGUAGGCGGGUCUUUAAGUCAGGGGGGAAAUCCUGGAGCUCAACUCCAGAACUGCCUUUGAUACUGAAGAUCUUGAGUUCGGGAGAGGUGAGUGGAACUGCGAGUGUAGAGGUGAAAUUCGUAGAUAUUCGCAAGAACACCAGUGGCGAAGGCGGCUCACUGGCCCGAUACUGACGCUGAGGCACGAAAGCGUGGGGAGCAGACAGG